rnacentral:rRNA from 1 species
AUGCACGCUGGCGGCGUGCCUCAUCCACGCCAGUCGCGCGAACAGACGAGGAGCUUGCUCCUCUGACGUUAGCGGCGGACGGGUGAGUAACACGUGGAUAACCUACCUAUAAGACUGGGAUAACUUCGGGAAACCGGAGCUAAUACCGGAUAAUAUAUUGAACCGCAUGGUUCAAUAGUGAAAGACGGUUUUGCUGUCACUUAUAGAUGGAUCCGCGCCGCAUUAGCUAGUUGGUAAGGUAACGGCUUACCAAGGCAACGAUGCGUAGCCGACCUGAGAGGGUGAUCGGCCACACUGGAACUGAGACACGGUCCAGACUCCUACGGGAGGCAGCAGUAGGGAAUCUUCCGCAAUGGGCGAAAGCCUGACGGAGCAACGCCGCGUGAGUGAUGAAGGUCUUCGGAUCGUAAAACUCUGUUAUUAGGGAAGAACAAAUGUGUAAGUAACUAUGCACGUCUUGACGGUACCUAAUCAGAAAGCCACGGCUAACUACGUG